CCGGUCGGGCCGGCCUUCCAAGCCGUGGCAGUCGCCGUCGGGCGAGGGUUCAAUUCGGCC
rnacentral:tRNA from 15 species